rnacentral:lncRNA from 1 species
AUCCGGCUCUCAGGCCUCGGGCGGCCGGUCUCUGUCCGCACCCUCUCCAUACUGGAGACAAAAAGGCAAAGUCCUCCGAGAAGGUGAGAUGGGAAGGUUCAGGAGAGCCCUAACCCGGACCCUGCACAAAAUAGUGCCUAUUUAUAGAAUUAACUAGAACCCGCAGCAGACACGGACAUGGUCCCGGGCCCCAGUCUCUCCCAUGAGCAGCCAUCAAGCAAGCGGGGGCGGGGUGCAUGAACGUGGCAUCCACCGUCCCCAGGUGUCCGCCUCGGCCCCCCAACUCUGCCCCGGAGCCAGGAGAACAAAGGCUUCUCGCUCUCCCUCCACCUGGAGGAGGGGGUCGUGUCCCACACACCAGGGCCAGGUGAGGGAUGCCUCAUGGGCCAGGGUCCCUGAAAGGGCAGGGCGUUUAAUGGGCUAACAGAAGAGGACUGGAGA